GGUGGUUCUUGGGCGACACACCCUGGAAUCAGGCUCCUUCCUCUCUGGUUCGGGGUGUGUCACCUGAGAAUGCA
rfam:Myotis davidii contig18674, whole genome shotgun sequence.